rnacentral:rRNA from 1 species
ACUUAUCGAAUAUUUAUAUUUGAGCGGUUAGUGGCGGACUGGUGAGUAACGCGUAAGGACCUGCCUAUUAGAGGGGGAUAACAGUGAGAAAUCAUUGCUAAUACCGCAUAUGUCACAUGAUGAAAGGAGCAAUCCGCUAAUAGAUGGCCUUGCGUCUGAUUAGAUAGUUGGUGGGGUAACGGCCUACCAAGUCGACGAUCAGUAGCCGGACUGAAGGUUGAACGGCCACAUUGGGACUGAGAUACGGCCCAGACUCCUACGGGAGGCAGCAGUCGGGAAUAUUGCGCAAUGGAGGAAACUCUGACGCAGUGACGCCGCGUAUAGGAAGAAGGUUUUCGGAUUGUAAACUAUUGCGUUAGGGAAGAGAAAGGACAGUACCUAAGGAGGAAGCUCCGGCUAACUACGUGCCAGCAGCCGCGGUAAUACGUAGGGGGCAAGCGUUAUCCGGAUUUACUGGGUGUAAAGGGAGCGUAGACGGCAAGGCAAGUCUGAAGUGAAAGCCCGGUGCUUAACGCCGGGACUGCUUUGGAAACUGUUUGGCUGGAGUGCCGGAGAGGUAAGCGGAAUUCCUAGUGUAGCGGUGAAAUGCGUAGAUAUUAGGAAGAACACCAGUGGCGAGGCGGCUUACUGGACGGUAACUGACGUUGAGGCUCGAAG